rnacentral:rRNA from 1 species
GACGAACCACACAAACGUUAUUCGGAAUUACUGGGCUUAAAGGGUGCGUAGGCGGCGCAGAAAGUAGGGUGUGAAAUCCCUCGGCUCAACCGAGGAACUGCGCCCUAAACUACUGUGCUCGAGGGAGGUAGAGGUGAGCGGAACUUAGGGUGGAGCGGUGAAAUGCGUUGAUAUCCUAAGGAACACCGGUGGCGAAAGCGGCUCACUGGACCGUCUCUGACGCUGAGGCACGAAAGCUAGGGUAGCGAACGGG